AACGCUGAAGCUUGGUGCUGCACCGAGCGGAGGAGUUGCGAACGGGUGAGUAACGCGUAGGUAACCUGCCUCUUAGCGGGGGAUAACUAUUGGAAACGAUAGCUAAUACCGCAUAAAAGUCGACAUUGCAUGAUGUUGACUUGAAAGGUGCAACUGCAUCACUAAGAGAUGGACCUGCGUUGUAUUAGCUAGUUGGUGAGGUAACGGCUCACCAAGGCGACGAUACAUAGCCGACCUGAGAGGGUGAUCGGCCACACUGGGACUGAGACACGGCCCAGACUCCUACGGGAGGCAGCAGUAGGGAAUCUUCGGCAAUGGACGGAAGUCUGACCGAGCAACGCCGCGUGAGUGAAGAAGGUUUUCGGAUCGUAAAGCUCUGUUGUAAGAGAAGAACGAGUGUGAGAGUGGAAAGUUCACACUGUGACGGUAACUUACCAGAAAGGGACGGCUAACUACGUGCCAGCAGCCGCGGUAAUACGUAGGUCCCGAGCGUUAUCCGGAUUUAUUGGGCGUAAAGCGAGCGCAGGCGGUUAGAUAAGUCUGAAGUUAAAGGCUGUGGCUUAACCAUAGUACGCUUUGGAAACUGUUUAACUUGAGUGCAGAAGGGGAGAGUGGAAUUCCAUGUGUAGCGGUGAAAUGCGUAGAUAUAUGGAGGAACA
rnacentral:rRNA from 1 species